rnacentral:tRNA from 1 species
GUGGCUGUGGCUCAGUGGUAGAGCGCUUGCCUAGCAUGCGUGAGGCACUGAGUUUGAUCCUCAGCACCACG